rnacentral:rRNA from 1 species
UGAGGAAUAUUGGUCAAUGGGCGUAAGCCUGAACCAGCCAUCCCGCGUGAAGGAAGAAGGCGCUAUGCGUCGUAAACUUCUUUUCCGGAGGAAUAAAAUUUCGUACGCGUACGGAACUGAAGGUACUCCGGGAAUAAGCAUCGGCUAACUCCGUGCCAGCAGCCGCGGUAAUACGGAGGAUGCGAGCGUUAUCCGGAUUUAUUGGGUUUAAAGGGUGCGUAGGCGGAUUGAUAAGUCAGUGGUGAAAUCCUGCAGCUUAACUGUAGCAUUGCCGUUGAUACUGUCAGUCUUGAGUAUGGUUAAGGUAGGCGGAAUGUGCAAUGUAGCGGUGAAAUGCUUAGAUAUUACACAGAACACCGAUUGCGAAGGCAGCUUACUGAACCAUAACUGACGCUGAGGCACGAAAGCGUGGGGAGCGAACA